rnacentral:lncRNA from 1 species
AUGCCACCUGAGCAGCAACACUUCAGUGAGCCCUUUGCAUUCCAGAAUGCUCUUCUCUCUCAAGAGAUGAAAGGAGAUUUCUUGGUUGGUUGUGGGACCAAUGAGAGUACAGUGUGUUGUGGUGGGACCAAUCAGUGCGCUAGACGUGGAAGCACCUCCUUGAUUGACAUGUGCAGGACCCACUCCCUCCCUAAGCCUCUGUGCCGUUCUCCCUGCCACCUCUGUCCCAAACGAGACAAAGUAACACAUCGGAGCCCGGAGGGUAACAAAAACUCAGAGGAGUACGCAGCAGCCGCGGUCCCCCCUUUAGACUCCCCUCCCCCUCGGUAUCCUGUCCUCUCCCCUCACUUGUCCCAAUACCAUCAGUGUUCCUACCUUGACUCAAUCAAUCAAUCAGUCAAUCCCCCCCAUCCUGCCAUCCUGGUUACAAAUCCUAUACGACGCCCCUCAGACCUCCCUCUACUCCACUCCCACAGGGCCUGUGCGAGCUUUGACCUUCUACUAAGAACUAGGAUGGAGGCUGGGGGGUCUCUAGGCCACCUCUACACGCCUCCCCUCCCUCCCUCCCCCCAGCGCUCAUCAGUACACACCCCCUCCUUAGUCUCCCCCCAGCUUCUCUCACUGCUCAAUCGCCCUCUAAUCACCUCCUCCCUGUCGGCUCCUCCGUCUCCCUCACAUCUUUCCCCGCCUCCUUCCCUAAUGGUCGGCUCCUCCAGUGGAGAUCUCUCCCUGCUCGACCACUGUCUCAGCCACAUCGUCAGUCGCAGGAGAAGCUCCCCAACACCCCUACACGCCCCGUACCAGCCCAGCCAAAGCUAUGGAGAGGCUAGGGUUCACAGGACCAGCUCCCCUACUUCCCCAGACAGCGGGGCCUAUUGGCCCAGCCAAAGCCAGCCCACCUCUCCAGUGCCUGAGCAUUCUGACCAAGGCCUGGGUUUGGAAAAGCCCCUGCUUCUAUCACCAAAUGGUUCAAUGGUAGGUCAGGGAUACUACCGGCUUGAUUGA